rnacentral:tRNA from 1 species
CGGGGCGUAGCUCAGCCUGGUAGAGCACCUGCUUUGGGAGCAGGGGGUCGCAGUUUCGAAUACUGUCGCCCCGACCA